AGAGACUGCGCCUGCGCGGGCACGGGACAACCUCUCCGCGAUGACUGCCAGCUCAGUGGAGCAGCUGCGGAAAGAGGGCAAUGAGCUGUUCAAAUGUGGAGACUACGGGGGCGCCCUGGCGGCCUACACUCAGGCCUUGGGUCUGGACGCGACGCCCCAGGACCAGGCCAUUCUGCACCGGAACCGGGCCGCCUGCUACCUCAAGCUGGAAGAUUACGACAAAGCAGAAACAGAGGCAUCCAAAGCCAUUGAAAAGGAUGGUGGGGAUGUCAAAGCACUCUACCGGCGGAGCCAAGCCCUAGAGAAGCUGGGCCGCCUGGACCAGGCUGUCCUUGACCUGCAGAGAUGUGUGAGCUUGGAGCCCAAGAACAAAGUUUUCCAGGAGGCCUUGCGGAACAUCGGGGGCCAGAUUCAGGAGAAGGUGCGAUAUAUGUCCUCGACGGAUGCCAAAGUGGAACAGAUGUUUCAGAUACUGUUGGACCCAGAAGAGAAGGGCACUGAGAAAAAGCAAAAGGCGUCUCAGAACCUGGUGGUGCUGGCCAGGGAGGAUGCUGGAGCGGAGAAGAUCUUCCGGAGUAAUGGGGUUCAGCUCUUGCAACGUUUACUGGACACGGGAGAGACUGACCUCAUGCUGGCGGCUCUGCGUACGCUGGUUGGCAUUUGCUCUGAGCAUCAGUCACGGAUCCCGCCCGGGAGCUGAAGGUCCUCAUCAGUAACCUUUUAGAUCUGCUGACAGAGGUGGGGGUCUCUGGCCAAGGCCGAGACAAUGCCCUGACCCUCCUGAUUAAAGCGGUGCCCCGGAAGUCUCUCAAGGACCCCAACAACAGCCUCACCCUCUGGGUCAUUGACCAAGGU
rnacentral:sRNA from 1 species